rnacentral:rRNA from 1 species
AUGCUGUUCCAAUGCGACUUAGCAAAGAGCCUAUGGGUCGGGCUGGGUCUAUCAGGGCGUAUUGACUUUGCUGUACAAGUAGACAGAUCGGGGUCGGCAAUUCUGGAAUUUCUAUUGCUGGAGUCAGACCAACCUUUGCUAAUGAUGCCAAACUUGAAGGAAAAGGAGGUGAUUGCAACAGGAUGCUGGUAUCUCUCGUGGCUGCGUCGACGACACACUCAUCAUGAUUCUGUUCUUCCUAACUUCAGGUGGCACAUCUCUAUUCUGGCAAUAGUGAAAAACUAUACAAAUUCUGUGAUGCAGAAAAGGACACUGGUGGAGCAUAGGUGGAAGAGACCGGAGCCAAGGUUCAUAAAACAUAAUGUUGAUGCUUCAUUCCAUGCGGAUGAGGGGGCAGGCUCUGUUGCAGGUGUGCUACGAGAUGAUAGAGGAAAUUUCAUUGCAGGGUUUUGUAAAUUUAUACCAUUGGCAGCAGAUGUUGUGAUUAUUGAAGCAAUGGCAUUGCGAGAUGGAUUAUUUCUAGCGAACUCAUUGGGUUUCGACGGAGUAGAAGCGGAGUCGGACUCGUUGAACGUCAUCAAUUAUUGUUGA